AUUGAACGCUGGCGGCAGGCCUAACACAUGCAAGUCGAACGGUAACAGGAAGAAGCUUGCUUCUUUGCUGACGAGUGGCGGACGGGUGAGUAAUGUCUGGGAAACUCCCUGAUGGAGGGGGAUAACUACUGGAAACGGCAGCUAAUACCGCAUAACGUCUCAAGCCCAAAGAGGGGGACCUUCGUGCCUCUUGCCAUCGGAUGUGCCCAGAUUGGCUUAGCUAGUAGGUGGGGUAACGGCUCACCUAGGCGAGGAUCCCUAGCUGGUGUGAGAGGAUGACCAGCCACACUGGAACUGAGACACGGUCAAGACUCCUACGGGAGGCAGCAGUGGGGAAUAUUGCACAGUGGGCGCAAGCCUGAUGCAGCCAUGCCGCGUGUAUGAAGAAGGCCUUCGGGUUGUAAAGUACUUUCAGCGGGGAGGAAGGGAGUAAAGUUAAUACCUUGGCUCAUUGACGUUACCCGCAGAAGAAGCACCGGCUAACUCCGUG
rnacentral:rRNA from 1 species